rnacentral:rRNA from 1 species
UACGGAGGGGGCUAGCGUUGUUCGGAAUUACUGGGCGUAAAGCGCACGUAGGCGGACUGUUAAGUCGGGGGUGAAAUCCUGGGGCUCAACCUCAGAAUUGCCUCCGAUACUGGCAGUCUCGAGUGCGGGAGAGGUGAGUGGAAUUCCCAAUGUAGAGGUGAAAUUCGUAGAUAUUGGGAAGAACACCAGUGGCGAAGGCGGCUCACUGGCCCGUAACUGACGCUGAGGUGCGAAAGCGUGGGGAGCAAACAGG